UAUAUUUGGCAAAAUAAGGAAUUUUAAACACUUAAUUAACACUAAUUAAGUAUUUCUUUAUUACAUUCUCUCUCCUACUUUAUCACUUUAUUAUCUUCUCUUUCUUACUUUAUCACUUUAUUACUUUCUCUCUCAUACUUUAUCACUUUAUUAUUACACACUUAAAACAUUAAUCUACAACUCCUUAAAUCCCGUGCCGAAAAGCAAAUGUAGCGUCUUGGCCGGGACGGAGGGAGUAC
rnacentral:lncRNA from 1 species